UUUUUCAAAAACAUCGCCUCCUGCAACUUUCUAUGUAUAGGAGGUCCAGCCUGCCCAGUGACUACGGGUUCAACGGCCGCGGUAUUUUGACCGUGCAAAGGUAGCGCAAUCACUUGUCUUUUAAAUGAAGACCUGUAUGAAUGGCCAAACGAGGGCUUAGCUGUCUCCCCCUUCUAGUCAGUGAAAUUGAUCUACCCGUGCAGAAGCGGGUGUAAUUAUACAAGACGAGAAGACCCUUUGGAGCUUAAGGUACAAGACUUGACCACGUUAAACAAGUUAAUAAAAAAUAUAAACUUAGUGAAAUGCAAAGUUUUACCUUCGGUUGGGGCGACCACGGAGGAAAGACAAGCCUCCAAGCGGACGGGGCCAACACCCUAAAACUAAGAGGGACACCUCUAAGCCACAGAAUAUCUGACCAAUAAUGAUCCAGCAUAAAGCUGAUCAACGGACCAAGUUACCCUAGGGAUAACAGCGCAAUCCUCUCCCAGAGUUCAUAUCGACGAGAGGGUUUACGACCUCGAUGUUGGAUCAGGACAUCCUAAUGGUGCAGCCGCUAUUAAGGGUUCGUUUGUUCAACGAUUAAAGUCCUACGUGAUCUGA
rnacentral:rRNA from 1 species